GUGCCUACGGGACGCAGCAGUGGGGAAUAUUGCACAAUGGGGGGAACCCUGAUGCAGCGACGCCGCGUGGGUGAAGGAGCACCUCGGUGCGUAAAGCCCUAUCGGCAGGGAAGAAAAGCGAACAGGUUCGCCUGGACGGGACCUGACUAAGAAGCCCCGGCUAACUACGUGCCAGCAGCCGCGGGAAUACGUAGGGGGCAAGCGUUAUCCGGAUUCACUGGGGGUAAAGGGAGCGUAGACGGAGACGCAAGUCUGGAGUGAAAGCCCGGGGCCCAACCCCGGGACAGCGCUGGAAACUGCGGCGG
rnacentral:rRNA from 1 species